UUUGCUAUCUAGCCAAGUUUGGAGUCAACAUUAAGUAAAUAGCUUUGAUUUUGACGUUAUUAAAUUGAUAACAUUUCAUACACAUUUUAUCCGGUUAUGUCAUUAUCCUUUCUAAGUUACCGGUGACAGUGGGACCAAGGAUUAACGUCGACGAGAGCACAUGUCCAAGAGAAAUUGAAAUUUAAUGUUGUCCACGUACGGGUUAACUAUUCUAAGUAAGUGUUGUAUUCUAUUUAUAAAAGUACUAUGUCAGAUAGAACAAACAGAAUAUCUUCAUACGAAACAGAAUUAUAAACUCUAAACCUAACCUGCACACUUAAAUACUAAACCAUAAACUCGAGUCUCUAAAUCCAAACCCAAAUGUUAAAUUUAAUUUAAAGUUACAAUAUUUGAAGGAAAACAACAAAAAAUAAUAAAUAUAUAAAUUUUGAACUAUUAUUCUAUAUUAUCUAACAUGGAAUGAAGACUACUCUUGUAAUUCAACCCCAACUCACCUCUAACCCUAAACCCAACACACCUCCAAGACUGAUAUACUAAACCCUAAACUUGAAUUCCUAAACCCAAAUCUAAAUGUAAAA
rnacentral:lncRNA from 1 species